rnacentral:tRNA from 2 species
UGCGGUAUUGUGUAAUGGUAGCACAGCAGACUCUGACUCUGUUUGUCUGGGUUCGAAUCCUAGUACCGCAGCCA